rnacentral:rRNA from 1 species
UACGUAGGGGGCGAGCGUUGUCCGGAUUUAUUGGGCGUAAAGAGCGUGUAGGCGGCCAGGUAGGUCUGCUGUGAAAACUCGAGGCUCAACCUCGAGACGUCGGCGGAAACCAUCUGGCUAGAGUCCGGAAGAGGAGAGUGGAAUUCCUGGUGUAGCGGUGAAAUGCGCAGAUAUUAGGAGGAACACCGGUGGCGAAGGCGCCACUCUGGGCCGAAACUGACGCUGAGGAGCGAAAGCGUGGGUAGCAAACAGG